GACGAACGCUGGCGGCGUGCCUAAUACAUGCAUGUAGAACGCUGAAGGAGGAGCUUGCUUCUCUGGAUGAGUUGCGAACGGGUGAGUAACGCGUAGGUAACCUGCCUGGUAGCGGGGGAUAACUAUUGGAAACGAUAGCUAAUACCGCAUAAUAGUAGAUGUUGCAUGACAUUUGCUUAAAAGGUGCAAUUGCAUCACUACCAGAUGGACCUGCGUUGUAUUAGCUAGUUGGUGGGGUAACGGCUCACCAAGGCGACGAUACAUAGCCGACCUGAGAGGGGGAUCGGCCACACUGGGACUGAGACACGGCCCAGACUCCUACGGGAGGCAGCAGUAGGGAAUCUUCGGCAAUGGACGGAAGUCUGACCGAGCAACGCCGCGUGAGUGAAGAAGGUUUUCGGAUCGUAAAGCUCUGUUGUAAGAGAAGAACGAGUGUGAGAGUGGAAAGUUCACACUGUGACGGUAGCUUACCAGAAAGGGACGGCUAACUACGUG
rnacentral:rRNA from 1 species